CCUACGGGAGGCAGCAGUGGGGAAUAUUGCACAAUGGGGGAAACCCUGAUGCAGCGACGCCGCGUGAGUGAAGAAGUAUUUCGGUACGUAAAGCUCUAUCAGCAGGGAAGAAAAUGACGGUACCUGCCUAACAAGCCCCGGCUAACUACGUGCCAGCAGCCGCGGUAAUACGUAGGGGGCAAGCGUUAUCCGGAUUUACUGGGUGUAAAGGGAGCGUAGACGGCAGCACAAGUCUGGAGGGAAAUCCCGGGGCUUAACCCCGGAAAUGCUUUGGAAACUGUGCGGCUGGAGGGCAGGAGGGGUAAGCGGAAUUCCUAGUGUAGCGGUGAAAUGCGUAGAUAUUAGGAGGAAAACCGGUGGCGAAGGCGGCUUACUGGACUGUAACUGACGGUGAGGCUCGAAAGCGUGGGGAGCAAACAGGAUUAGAUACCCGAGUAGUC
rnacentral:rRNA from 1 species